rnacentral:rRNA from 1 species
UAGGGAAUCUUCCACAAUGGGCGAGAGCCUGAUGGAGCAACGCCGCGUGUGUGAUGAAGGGUUUCGGCUCGUAAAACACUGUUGUAAGAGAAGAAUGACAUUGAGAGUAACUGUUCAAUGUGUGACGGUAUCUUACCAGAAAGGAACGGCUAAAUACGUGCCAC